rnacentral:rRNA from 1 species
CCUACGGGUGGCAGCAGUAGGGAAUUUUCCGCAAUGGACGAAAGCCUGACGGAGCAACGCCGCGUGAGUGAAGAAGGUUUUCGGAUCGUAAAACCCUGUUGUUAGAGAAGAACAAGCAUGUUAGUAACUGAACGUCCCCUGACGGUAUCUAACCAGAAAGCCACGGCUAACUACGUGCCAGCAGCCGCGGUAAUACGUAGGUGGCAAGCGUUGGCCGGAUUUAUGGGGCGUAAAGGGAGCGCAGGCGGUAUUUUAAGUCUGAUGGGAAAGCCCUAGGCUCAACCGGGGUAGGUCAUUGGAAACUGGGAGACUUGAUUGCAGAAGAGGAGAUUGGAAGUCCAGGUGUAGCGGGGAAAUGCGUAGAUAUAUGGAGGAACACCAGUGGCGAAGGCGGCUCUCUGGUCUGUAACUGACGCUGAGGUUCGAAAGCGUGGGUAGCAAACAGGAUUAGAUACCCGUGUAGUC